rnacentral:rRNA from 1 species
AGCAGCCGCGGUAAUUCCAGCUCCAAUAGCGUAUAUUAAAGUUGCUGCAGUUAAAAAGCUCGUAGUUGAAUUUCGGGAUCGAUAUAUCGGUCGUGCCUCGGUACGUACUGGUAUUUUCGGUUUCUCCCUUCUGACGAACCUUGAUGUCAUUAAUUUGGUGUCUUGGGGAAUCAGGACUGUUACUUUGAAAAAAUUUAGAGUGUUUAAAGCAGGCUCACGCUUGAAUACAUUAGCAUGGAAUAAUGAAAUAGGACGUUUGAUUCUAUUUUGUUGGUUUCUAGGAUCGACGUAAUGAUUAAUAGGGAUAGUUGGGGGCGAUUAGUAUUCAAUUGUCAGAGGUGAAAUUCUUGGAUUUAUUGAAGACUAACUACUGCGAAAGCAUUUGCCAAGAAUGUUUUCAUUAAUCAAGAACGAAAGUUAGGGGAUCGAAGACGAUCAGAUACCGUCGUAGUCUUAACCAUAAACUAUGCCGACUAGGGAUCGGAUGAUGUUAAUUUUUUAAUGACUCAUUCGGCGCCUU